rnacentral:rRNA from 1 species
UACGGGGGGGGGCAAGCGUUGUUCGGAAUUACUGGGCGUAAAGGGCUCGUAGGUGGCCAACUAAGUCAGACGUGAAAUCCCCAGGCUUAACCGGGGAACUGCGUCUGAUACUGGAUGGCUUGAAUCCGGGAGAGGGAUGCGGAAUUCCAGGUGUAGCGGUGAAAUGCGUAGAUAUCUGGAGGAAUACCGGUGGCGAAGGCGGCAUCCUGGACCGACAUUGACGCUGAUGAGCGAAAGCUAGGGGAGCAAACGGG